AUUGAACGCUGGCGGCAGGCCUAACACAUGCAAGUCGAACGAGUGGCGGACGGGUGAGUAAUGUCUGGGAAACUGCCCGAUGGAGGGGGAUAACUACUGGAAAGGUAGCUAAUACCGCAUACUAUUGGAGCGGCCGAUAUCGGAUUAGCUAGUUGGUGGGGUAACGGCUCACCAAGGCGACGAUCCGUAGCUGGUUUGAGAGGACGACCAGCCACACUGGGACUGAGACACGGCCCAGACUCCUACGGGAGGCAGCAGUGGGGAAUUUUGGACAAUGGGGGAAACCCUGAUCCAGCCAUCCCGCGUGUGCGAUGAAGGCCUUCGGGUUGUAAAGCACUUUUGGCAGGAAAGCGGUACCUGCAGAAUAAGCACCGGCUAACUACGUGCCAGCAGCCGCGGUAAUAC
rnacentral:rRNA from 1 species